CAUUAGGGGCUCAGCGCGUCCCUCCAGGCCACGCCGUCAGGCCUCCGUCCUUUUAGCUGUAGGGGCAGAUUACGUAACUCCAGCCUUCUGGUCACUAAAGGAGGGUAACAAAGGGCGGUCGAGAGACUCCACUGAGUUGACACGCAGACGCAGCCUCAGGACCCUAAACUCUACGCCCCAGCACACCCUACCAAGCGAGCGCCCGCGGCCGCGUGACGUCAUCUACCCCAAACGCUGUGGCCCCGGCCACGCACGGCUUCGGGGCGGGACUACGCGGUGACGUCGAGGUGCGCGGCGCAGCGCGCGGCGUCAGUCUUGGCUGGCAGACCUGUACUCCGUACUCCGUACUUCGUAGUCGCAGCGGCGCGGUCUUCGGCAGUCUAGUCAUCCACCGCCAUCCUGGGCCCCACGUGUUGCCUGACCAUUCCUGAGCCCAGGUGGGAGCCGUGGCUGAGGUGACGGUCUCAAAGUGGAAGAGCUUACUGUCACAGCAACUCCUUUGCAAGAUGCCCCGGCCAGGAAUAGUUGCUGAACACCCCAGGCCUGCUGAGGUCCCUCCUUGAGUCUCAUGUUCAAGCAGUCUUGUGAGUAAAGCACUGGCUACCCCUUUUCACUUACUAUCUUUUCAAGCAUGUUCUACCACCUUGGAAGGUAAGAGGUUAGUACCUUCUUCCAGAGCAGAGGGCAGGCAUUCUUGCUGUGCGUUGUGAAAGGGUAGAGUCCUGCGCUCCUUUCUUGUAGUAGUCCAAUGGCUCAUGCAGGUGCCUCUGACUCCCCUAUGGGAACUGGGGCUUGGGAGGGUGGUGGAAAAUGCUGAUGCUCUGGCUAUUGCUAUUGUUUUGAAUAAUCAGUGGUCCCUUGUCCCUAAUCGAGGAAUUUUGUAUUUUCUACCAGUGUCCAUGAAACUGGGAGGCGACCGUGUUAGCUGCCAGUUCCUGACAGCCACCUCUCACCAGUGGCUUCACUCUGUGUCCCUGACCCAGCACAUGGCACAAGAGUGCCUGCCAUCCGUCAGUGUUUCUACAGCAGCAAUCCCAAGAUGCUGGAGCUAGAGGGGACCUGACCUGAGAGAAGAUACCUUCAGUGGCUGCCAGGCUGUUCCUUGGAACCUGUGCAGGGAUGAGGCCUGCCUGUGUUAAUACACCUAGUGAGGAGUGGAGCUGAAUUUGAAUGCAAGCCUUGGCACCUUAAUUGAGCAAGUUUGAAACCUCGCUUGUUGCCCUUCUGGAAGGAGUCAGGAAUUUCCAGUUCUGGGCCUGGGCUGUGGGUCUGGCAGACAGACCUCUGGCCCUAGGUUUGGGUGCCAGGUUCUCUGCUUCCAGAAUGAGAAGCUUUGCUGUGCACCAGGACCUGGGCCCUUCUGGUAUCUCCUGAAUGAAAAACAAGGGAUAUUUAAUAAAUAUGGAUUUAAAUAUGUGA
rnacentral:lncRNA from 1 species